UUUUUUUUUUUUUUUUUUUUAAUGUGGAAGUAGCUUUGGAAUUGGUUUGUGAAUAGAGGCUGGAAGAUUUUUGAGGUUCAUGUUAGAAAAGGCCCAGAUUGCCUUUGAAGAGAGACUGUUGUUUCAAAAAUGGAUAUUUAGGGCAGCCCGGGUGGCUCAGCAGUUUAGCACCACCUUCAGCCCAGGGCGUGAUCCUGGAGAUCAGGGAUCGAAUCCCACGUUGGGCUCCCUGCAUGGAGUCUGCUUCUCCCUCUGCCUAUGUCUCUGCUGCCUGUCUCUUUGUGUCUCUCACGAAUAUAUAUAGUUUUUUUUUUUAAUUUUUUUUUUAAUUUCUAUUUAUUUAUGAUAGUCACACAGAGAGAGAGAGAGAACCUCUGAUUUACAGCCAACUGCUCAGAAGUACAGAUAACAAUCUGAACUUGCAGAUGGCAUCCUGAGUUGGAGGGGAUCACUGGAACCUCCAAUUUGUAGCCAGUUGGCCAGAGACACAGGUAAUAACAUAGGCUUGCAUCUGGCAUAUGAAGGAGCAGGGAAAAGAGUAGUAGGACAGCACUCUUGUGGGACUCAGCCCUUAAUCUGUGGAAUCUGAUAUUAUCUCUGGGUAGACACUGUCAGAAUUGAAUUGAAUUAUAAGAUAUCCAACAGGUUUCUGGAAAAUUGCUCCUUGGUGAUGUGGGAAACCCCCCCACACACACACAUGUUGCAAUUGGGCAUGGUACCUAAUUACUAUCCAUAUUACAAAAAGAAAAGGUAUAUUCUAGAAAGCACACCAAAGGGGUGGCUGGAAAAUCGUAUGAUAAAGAGUUCAUAGGUGCUGUAGGGUCCAAGGGCAGGCUGCCUGAGGGCAGGCUGCCUGAAGACAGGCCACUUUGGCAUGAACACUGUUUUGAAUUAAACACAAUGGAAACCCAGUAGAUUCAUAAAAAGCUUUUCACCUCCCCCUCAACUGACUCUUUGAACCAGGAAAAGAGCUAUUAAUAGAGACUUCUCUUUACCUAAGAAACUUACCUACAUAAUAAGGUAACCUUGGUUUUUCAAGCAUCUUUCAACUUCCUGCUAAUGGUCUUUCCCCACUUUGGAUCCUCAGAUACCUUCCCUUUGUUCAUACAAGCAUCAUAUUGCUUCACUGUCUUUGGAAAAUCCAUGUCUAUGUGGAUUCCCUGUAUGUAUGCUAUUAAAUUUGAUUUUCCUUUGUUAAUCUGUCUCCUAUCAAUUUGAUUCUUAGCCCAGCCAAAAGGACAUUAAAGGUAGAGAAAAUUCUUCCUCCUGAUAGUGUGAUUCAUAGAUUUAAUCAGCCAUCUCAGAAGUAUCUAGGAAUAGCGAUGGAACUAUAACAGCAGAAGCACUGCCAGCUUGGAAUAAAGGGGACAGAGUCAACAAAAUAAAGGAAUCCUGUUGGACUUCUGGGAUUCCACAGAAUAAAAAAAUUGAACUAUGUGGCUGCCAGUCCCCAUUAUCCUUAAAGAAAAGGGAAGAAUAGCACCAAAAGCUGUUCAGAAAUAAGCAUAACUGUCACUCCUACCAUGAGUCUGGAGGAUACAGGCCUAGGGGGUCAAGGCUGUAUCUUCAGUUUUAGUGGGUCAGGCUGCUACCAACCAGUCCCUCAGGAACAAAGUUAUUGCCCAGAAACAAGAAGAUGAUGCUGCCACCCCUGGAGCUCCAGAGGCAAAGCAUUGAGCCAAACGAGAUUACUCUUGAGCCUUAAAAUCUAAUGGAAUUAUCUUGCUAAAUUUUGGACUUCCUUUGGAUCCACACCUCCCCCUUUCUUCUUUCUGAUUUCUCUCUUUUAUUAUUAUUACUUUUUAAGAUUUUGUUUAUUUGUCAGAGAGAAAGAGUGUAAGCAGGCAGAAGAGCAGGCAGAGGGAGAAGCAGGCUCCCUGAUGAGCAAGAAGCUGGAUGCUGGACUCUGGACUCAAUCUCAAGAGCCUGGGAUCAUGACCUGAGCCGAAGGCUGAUGCUUAACUGACUGAGCCACGCAGGCAUCCUGAUUUCUCUUUUAAAAUAUGAAUGUUGUAGUAGCAAAUUAGUUCUGAAUUAUGAAACAUUUGCUAUUUAGCAAGCUAGCAAAUGAUGCACAUAUUUUGUUUUUCAUGUACUGGGCAAUAUAAGUGAAAUUAAAUCUGUCCUUUUUCCCCUCUCGAAUGAGGUUUCCAUUUGGAAAAAAGACUUGCACUGUUGCAUAUGUUCUGGGGACAUAGACUUCUCAUAAUUUCCACUUAGGGGCACUUAAAGAUUUUUUCCUAUUGGAACACUUUUACACUUUCUGAUGUAUAGUACUUGAAGUUCUUGCCAGAAAAUUGCUUUUGAGUUUUGAAGGCUUUAUUCAAACUACUUUUAAAUAAGUGGUUUAUUGUCAGUGCUGUGUUUCAUUUUGUUUUAUAGAAUAUUUUUCCUCUACCCUUUUAUUUAUUUCCUUCCCAUUUUAAACAUAUAUAUAAUUUCCAAUCCAGGAUAUUGCCUUGCCACCCAUGAAAACUGUUCUGGCACCAAAAGUAAUGAGAAAUGUUCAGUGUAUUAGAAAAUUAGAGUAAAGAGCCACUCAGCUUCAGUUUUUACAUACCAUGAAUAAAACAUUAAAACAUCACAUGGAGAAGUUUACAUGGUGAUUGUUCACCUGCAGUACUGCAGACUUUUAACAUUUUGUAUCCUUUUCAGUGAACCAGAAUAAAAAUAUUCAUUGACCAUUAUGGUUAUUUGCUGAUUUUUUUUUUUUUGAUGGUAAUCUAUCCUUAUGACACUAUGGCAACCAAACUGGCUUUACCAUCUUCGCUUUAGCAGUUAUCGAAGACAAUGGAUUAUCAUCUUUAUUACUAUCUGUCUUAAGCAUUAUAUGCUAGUGGAAUCUAGUUUAAUUGUUUCAGAUGGAAAAGUAUUUGAAUUUCCAUUUUGAAUGUGUUUGGACUAAACAAACAAUAAACUACUGAUGUCUGCAGCAUUUAUCUAUGUCCCUAAUUUAAUCUGUAGGUUUGUGUUCCAAAGUAUUUUCUCCCAAUUGCAUUUCAUACAACCUAAGUAAAAAUAAGUAAUUGUUCUAAAACAAAAACAAUAAACACACAAAAAAUUUUUUAAAUAAAAUGCAGGUGCUUGAGUGGCUCAGUCAGUUAAGCAUCUGCCUUGGGUUAAGGUCAUGAUCCCAGGGCCCUGGGAUUGAGUCCAAAUCCCCAUUUGGGCUCCCGGCUCAGUAGAGAGUCUACUCCCUCUCCCAACCUUCCUGCCUGUGUGCACUUGCUCUCUCUCUUUCUAAUAAAAA
rnacentral:lncRNA from 1 species